rnacentral:tRNA from 1 species
GCUAGGAAGGUAGCUCAGUGGCAGAGCACUUGCCUAGUAUGCUGGACAGCCCUGGAUUCAAUUCCCAGUAUAGUG